CACGUAGGGCGCAAGCGUUGUCCGGAAUUAUUGGGCGUAAAGAGCUCGUAGGUGGUUUGUUACGUCUGCUGUGAAAACCUAGGGCUUAACCCUGGGCUUGCAGUGGAUACGGGCAGACUAGAGUGCGGUAGGGGAGACUGGAAUUCCUGGUGUAGCGGUGAAAUGCGCAGAUAUCAGGAGGAACACCUGUGGCGAAAGCGGCUCACUGGACCACAACUGACGCUGAGGAGCGAAAGCGUGGGGAGCGAACAGG
rnacentral:rRNA from 1 species